rnacentral:rRNA from 1 species
CGGGAGGCAGCAGUGGGGAAUAUUGGACAAUGGGGGCAACCCUGAUCCAGCCAUGCCGCGUGUGUGAAGAAGGCCUUUUGGUUGUAAAGCACUUUAAGCAGGGAGGAGAGGCUAAUGGUUAAUACCCAUUAGAUUAGACGUUACCUGCAGAAUAAGCACCGGCUAACUCUGUGCCAGCAGCCGCGGUAAUACAGAGGGUGCGAGCGUUAAUCGGAAUUACUGGGCGUAAAGCGAGUGUAGGUGGCUCAUUAAGUCACAUGUGAAAUCCCCGGGCUUAACCUGGGAACUGCAUGUGAUACUGGUGGUGCUAGAAUAUGUGAGAGGGAAGUAGAAUUCCAGGUGUAGCGGUGAAAUGCGUAGAGAUCUGGAGGAAUACCGAUGGCGAAGGCAGCCAUCUGGCCUAAUACUGACGCUGAGGUACGAAAGCAUGGGGAGCAAACAGGAUUAGAUACCCUGGUAGUCCAUGCCGUAAACGUUGGGCACUAGGUGUGGGGGACAUUCCACGUUUUCCGCGCCGUAGCUAACGCAUUAAGUGCCCCGCCUGGGGAGUACGGCCGCAAGGCUAAAACUCAAAGGAAUUGACGGGGGCCCGCACAAGCGGCGGAGCAUGUGGAUUAAUUCGAUGCAACGCGAAGAACCUUACCUGGUCUUGACAUCCACGGAACUUUCCAGAGAUGGAUUGGUGCCUUCGGGAACCGUGAGACAGGUGCUGCAUGGCUGUCGUCAGCUCGUGUCGUGAGAUGUUGGGUUAAGCCCCGCAACGAGCGCAACCCUCGUUCUAUGUUGCCAGCACGUGAUGGUGGGGACUCAUAGGAGACUGCCGGGGUCAACUCGGAGGAAGGUGGGGAUGACGUCAAAUCAUCAUGCCCCUUAUGACCUGGGCUACACACGUGCUACAAUGGCUGGUACAACGAGUCGCAAGUCGGUGACGGCAAGCUAAUCUCUUAAAGCCAGUCUCAGUUCGGAUUGUAGGCUGCAACUCGCCUACAUGAAGUCGGAAUCGCUAGUAAUCGCGGAUCAGCAUGUCGCGGUGAAUACGUUCCCGGGUCUUGU